rnacentral:rRNA from 1 species
UCGACGAGGGUCCUUCGGGACUCGAGUGGCGAACGGGUGAGUAACACGUAGGGAACCUGCCCGUGCGACCGGGAGAACUUUCGGAAACGGAAGCUGAUACCGGAUAGGGACAGAGACGGCAUCGACUCUGUGUUAAAGGAGCUGAAAGGCUCCGCGCACGGAUGGACCUGCGGUGCAUUAGCUGGUUGGUGAGGUAACGGCCCACCAAGGCGACGAUGCAUAGCCGGCCUGAGAGGGCGGACGGCCACACUGGGACUGAGACACGGCCCAGACUCCUACGGGAGGCAGCAGUAGGGAAUUUUCGUCAAUGGGCGCAAGCCUGAACGAGCAAUGCCGCGUGAACGAGGAAGGUCUUCGGAUCGUAAAGUUCUGUUGAAGGGGAAAAAGAGCGGAGAGAGGAAAUGGUCUCCGAUUGAUAUUACCCUUCGAGGAAGUCACGGCUAACUACGUGCCAGCAGCCGCGGUAAUACGUAGGUGGCGAGCGUUAUCCGGAAUGAUUGGGCGUAAAGGGUGCGUAGGCGGCCUGCUAAGUCUGGAGUGAAAGGUACCGGCUCAACCGGUACAGGCUCUGGAAACUGGCGGGCUAGAGAGCAGGAGAGGGCGGUGGAACUCCAUGUGUAGCGGUAAAAUGCGUAGAUAUAUGGAAGAACACCAGUGGCGAAGGCGGCCGCCUGGCCUGUUACUGACGCUGAGGCACGAAAGCGUGGGGAGCAAAUAGGAUUAGAUACCCUAGUAGUCCACGCCGUAAACGAUGAGGACCAAGUGUUGGGGAAGACCCAGUGCUGCAGUUAACGCA